rnacentral:tRNA from 1 species
GCUGCGGUGUACGAGCGGUUAAGGAGAUGGACUUGAAAUCCAUUGGGUUCUACCCACACAGGUUCGAAUCCUGUCUGCAGCG